GUGCCUAAUACAUGCAAGUUGAGCGCUGAAGGUUGGUACUUGUACCGACUGGAUGAGCAGCGAAUGGGUGAGUAAUGCGUGGGGAAUCUGCCUUUGAGCGGGGGACAACAUUCGGAAACGAAUGCUAAUACCGCAUAAAAACUUUAAACACAAGUUUUAAGUUUGAAAGAUGCAAUUGCAUCACUCAAAGAUGAUCCCGCGUUGUAUUAGCUAGUUGGUGAGGUAAAGGCUCACCAAGGCGGUGAUACAUAGCCGACCUGAGAGGGUGAUCGGCCACAUUGGGACUGAGACACGGCCCAAACUCCUACGGGAGGCAGCAGUAGGGAAUCUUCGGCAAUGGACGAAAGUCUGACCGAGCAACGCCGCGUGAGUGAAGAAGGUUUUCGGAUCGCAAAACUCUGUUGGUAGAGAAGAACGUUGAUGAGAGUGG
rnacentral:rRNA from 1 species